rnacentral:lncRNA from 1 species
CUGUUUGAUGGUAGUUAAUUUGUCUUUUGCGAUAUUUUUCAGCACGCAUGCCUAGGUUCGACUGAGUGAUAUCGACUCAUGUAAGCAGUCUUUCUAUCUUGUUACCAUCAUAGCAAAUCAAAUUAGAAUUCUGUCGAUGUUCUAUUUUUUUAUUUUUACUGCUUUUGGAGUUACAAGACUAUAUUUUCUCCUCUACCCAAUGGUUGUAUUUGAGUAAAGAGCCCUAGCGAUCGUACUCCCGCUCUUCCUUCCAUUAUAUCAAUAUAUAGUCUUCCAAGAUCUUGCAAAGCCCUGUGCUUCCACCUCUCGAGUCCACACACUAUGAGCUAUAAAAAGUAUCAGGUUCCAAAAGACUUUCACCUCAUUACGUUGGGCUUCUGCUCAUUAAUGGAGGAGCUCUUGCAAUGGCUAACUUACAAGUUACUCCAGAGAGUCCCUUCCUCGAACCGUACCGACCUGAUCAUCACACCUCUUGUGCUCGAGAGGAAGCCCGGCGAGUUUCUACUCUGAAUGCAUAUGAAGAAGUGUAAGACUACAUAAUAUCCUCCCUCUGACGCACCCCACCAUUGUCAAUGUGCAGUCAGUAUCUAAGGAAAUGUUCAGCCUCCUGGACUCAGAUCUGGGGAUCUAUGGGGCCAUGCCGUCAUCUAAAAUGGAGGAGGUGGUCCAUGCCCGGCCUUAAGUGAUAGAACAAAAUGGAAGGCAUAAAAGGGAAAGUGGCCGUGGUGAAAAAGAUGGAGCCUAAUGCUGUGUGCAUCGCUGGUGGCAAGAUUGUCUCCUUUACUUAUAAUGCAUUGGUUCAUUACUGAAAUCAGAAUCAGCAUCAUUUGGAAUGAGAAUUGGACUGAUCAUACACCUCGAUAUGUUUGAUCCAUAAUUGGAGUUAAAAUCAUAAUUGGAAUGGAAUUUGAAUAGCAUAGGAAAGCUGAGAAUUUCCAUCCAUUCCCAAGCUUUGGAUAUCAUGUUUGAAUACCCGGUUAGGUAUCUUAUUUCAAUGUGCUCUUGUUUUCUCAAGGU